GGCUAUAUAUGUUUAUAUUAGGGAAAUUCAGCUUUGGUAUUUUCUAUAGAAAAAAUACAUCUCUUUUCCCCACCUAUAAUCUUACAAUCUCUUGUUUUGUAUUUAUUGUUAUAUUUGUGCAUGUCAUUUGUAUAACUGUAAAUAGUGCUUAUGUGCUAUAAAGGGUUAAAAUGGAAUGUAGGCAUCGGGGUAUUGGUUUUAUCCAGCUUUUACAUCAAAGACAAUGAAAAAGAUGCUAUUUUUAAAUAAUGUAAAUCAUUUUAGAUAGCAGUAAACUCAUAUCAGCACAUUUAACUAGCAGCUCUACACAUCUGUUCUUGCAAACACA